GCGAGCGUAGUUCAACGGUAGAACAAUUUUUCUUUAAUUUUUCCCUCGUUUCGAUACCCCGAAACCACUAUGCAGGUUCAACUCCUGCCGCUCGCU
rnacentral:tRNA from 1 species